GAUGAACGCUGGCGGCGUGCCUAAUACAUGCAAGUCGAGCGAACAGACGAGAGUGCUUGCACUCUCUGACGUUAGCGGCGGACGGGUGAGUAACACGUGGGUAACCUACCUAUAAGACUGGGAUAACUUCGGGAAACCGGAGCUAAUACCGGAUAAUAUUUAGCUUCGCAUGACGCAAUAGUGAAAGACGGUUCUUCUGUCACUUAUAGAUGGACCCGCGGUGUAUUAGCUAGUUGGUGAGGUAACGGCUCACCAAGGCAACGAUACAUAGCCGACCUGAGAGGGUGAUCGGCCACACUGGGACUGAGACACGGCCCAGACUCCUACGGGAGGCAGCAGUAGGGAAUCUUCCGCAAUGGACGAAAGUCUGACGGAGCAAUGCCGCGUGAGUGAAGAAGGUUUUCGGAUCGUAAAACUCUGUUGUAAGGGAAGAACAAGUACGUUAGUAACUGAACGUACCUUGACGGUACCUUACCAGAAAGCCACGGCUAACUACGUG
rnacentral:rRNA from 1 species